rnacentral:piRNA from 1 species
UGUAACGGCCUAGCAAAACAUUUUAGCCUC